UAGAGCUUCCAGUCUCUCUCACCUCCUCCUGAAUCUACAGACGUAAAUUAUGAUUUCUUCAGUUCUCUCAUCCCUUUUGAUGUCCUGAAAGAAUCUGUCCGUCAGCUGAGAGACAAACUGGAGGAUUUCUGUAAAGAGGAGCUCAAGAAGAUCUCAGACAGAGAAACACUCAUCAGCAUUGUUCCCAAAACCAGGAAUGACUUCCUACAAUAUUCCCAUCAGCUCACUCUGGAUCUGAACACGGUGAAUAAACACCUCCGUCUGUCUGAAAGCAACAGAGUGAUUACUGGUACUCUCACAGAGCAGUUGCAUCCUGAUCAUCCAGACAGAUUUGAUCAUUGGUGGCAGGUGUUGUGUAGAGAGAGUGUGUGUGGACGCUGUUACUGGGAGCUGGAGUGGAGUGGUUCUGUUUGUGGCGUGUCUAUUUCAGUGUCAUAUAAGAGCAUCAGUAGGAAGGGACGGGGUAAAGAGUGUUGGUUUGGACGUAAUGAUCAGUCCUGGAGUUUGUUCUGUACUCCCUCCAGUUACUCAUUCAUUCACAAU